UACGUAGGGGGCUAGCGUUGUCCGGAUUUAUUGGGCGUAAGAGCGCGUAGGCGCCGAGUAAGUCCGACGUGAAAUCUGGAGGCUCAACCUCCAGCGGUCGUUGGAAACUACUCGGCUAAAGUCCGGAAGAGGAGAGUGGAAUUCCUGGUGUAGCGGUGAAAUGACGCAGAUAUCAGGAAGAACACCGAUGGCGAAAGCAGCUCUCUGGGACGGUACUGACGCUGAGGCGCGAAAGCGUGGGGAGCGAACAGG
rnacentral:rRNA from 1 species